rnacentral:rRNA from 1 species
GAUGAACGCUGGCGGCGUGCUUAACACAUGCAAGUCGAACGGAAAGGCCCAAGCUUGCUUGGGUACUCGAGUGGCGAACGGGUGAGUAACACGUGGGUGAUCUGCCCCGCACUUCGGGAUAAGCCUGGGAAACUGGGUCUAAUACCGGAUAGGACAGUGGUUUGGAUGCCAUUGUGGAAAGUUUUUUCGGUGUGGGAUGAGCUCGCGGCCUAUCAGCUUGUUGGUGGGGUAAUGGCCUACCAAGGCGUCGACGGGUAGCCGGCCUGAGAGGGUGUACGGCCACAUUGGGACUGAGAUACGGGCCAGACUCCUACGGGAGGCAGCAGGGGGGAAUAUUGCACAAUGGGCGCAAGCCUGAUGCAGCGACGCCGCGGGGGGGAUGACGGGCUUCGGGUUGGAAACUCCUUUCGCUAGGGACGAAGCGUUAUGUGACGGUACCUAGAGAAGAAGCACCGGCUAACUACGUG